UUUUCCUGUUAUUUCUGUCAGUGUUACCUUAUAAAAUAAAAAUACUUGGCACUCAGGUAUUGUGAUUUUCAUCUUCAACUACUUGGCAAGAAAUCUUUAAUCAAGCCUCAUAUUAGCAUGGCAAGCAUUGGAUAUGGAAAGCGGAUGAUAUGUGAACACUUUCCAACACAAGACAGCAUUGGAGUUUUGAUUAGGUAACAAAAUUGAAAAAGGCCUAGAAAUCAGAAGGGUAAAUAAAUGUCAAGACAAAUGUGGACUUCACAGUGAUCAAUGAAGCAAAAAGAUGGACUGAAUAUGAACAAAGAAAUCUCUGGAGAGCAAAGAAAAAUGAGAAGGACCCAGAUCCUGUGCUCAGAUCAAUUGGAACUUUGCAGAUGCUGGCCCUAUGGCUUUACAUGCUGACUGCUUGGGGGUGUCUGCUCUCUCCUGGGGAUCUAUGUAAUGACAUAAUAGUUACAGGCCAAACCCUCCAGGCCUUAAUUCAACAAAAUUCCCAUUAACUCCAGCAGGAAUUUUACCUUUUUAAGGACUAGAGAAUUUAGCUCCAUAUUACAUAGCAUGUAGGUGGGAUGGCACCUGUGGGUUGCAAAGCUGACUUGGCUUUUACAUAUGGCACGUGCUGCCAGCAGUGCAGGGGGGUUGCAUCUUUCAGCAUGGUUUGGGAUUUAGUGGAUUGAAAAGGGAGAUGCAUAAAGUCAGGCUGACCUUGAGGAAUUUACAUAUAUAUCCUGAGCUUGGGAUCACAUCUCAAACUAUACCCAAUGAAGAACCGUAGCCCCCCCGGUUGUGAUAUGUGCAGUUACUAAAUGGUAUGCUAGUUGUUUUAAAAUACCCACACAUCCAACCCAUCCCAUACCCUGCCUUGCAUCUUGUACCUUGCAAGUCCUUAUACCAAAUGCCCCUUAGAUUUGAACGUAUUGUGUCAUAGCAUUCUUCAGCACACAACUCGGUGUGCUGGACCAUAUUGUCAUUUAUUUAGCCAAAUCCUAACAUUUUUCUGCUGAUGCUUGACCCGUCUUUUUACCCGUUCAGGGCAAUUACUCACUCAGCUUCGGAUUCUGUAGGGUGCUAAGCACCCGCAACACCCAUUGACUAGAAGGCUCUAGGGCAUUCAGCCUAGCUGAAGAUACUUGGUAUGCUGCAGGACGUGGCCUUUG